rnacentral:rRNA from 1 species
CGCCGGGUAGCUAAGCACGGACUAGAUAAGCGCUGAAAGCAUCUAAGCGCCAAGCUAUUCCCAAGAUAAGAUCUCCUUUGGUCUUCGGACCAUGAAGGAUCCUGGAAGACUACCAGGUUGAUAGGUCGGAUGCGUAAGCGCAGCAAUUCGUUAAGCUAACCGAUACUAAUGAUCCGA